GUGCUCGCUUUGACAGCAUAUAGCUAAAAUUGGAACAGUAUAGAGUAGAUUACAAUGGCCCGUAUGCAAAAAUGACAUUCACUUUCAUGAAAUCUUCUAUUAAAAA
rnacentral:snRNA from 1 species